rnacentral:lncRNA from 1 species
AGUCCUUCGCCGUCCCUCGCCGUCCUUCGCCAUCGCACGCCACCGCACCCCAUCUCUCGAAAUCUGCAGACAUCUUGAUUUUUCCCACGCUGUCUGUCAGGUCUCCGCCGCCACUCGACGCCAGGGCGCCGGGUGAGUCCACAGCAGGGCGCAUGGUCGGCUCCACUCUCACCAUCGGGGGAAACUGAGGCCCCGGGGAAGGCGGCCAGAGAGGUCAGGCCCUGUCCUUGGUGCAGUGUCUCGUCCUCUUUGCCGGAGUGAGCCCCCCAGGAUUCGCGUGUCCUCGGGAAAGACACUGGCAGGCCUUGUGGGCUGUGCUGCACCUCGGACGGCUUCGCACCAGCCAGCGCCCUCUCUCUCCUGCAGCACUCUGAUCUGCACCCCCUGAGGGGCUUCCACUGUCCGCGGGGUGAGAAUGCCCCUGGGAGUGUCACAUGACUGCCGCCCCAUGUGUGUGAGAGGCGUCCUCUGGGAGAGCAUGGAUCCUGAGGUCCCAGGAUUGUCAGCUGACCUCUGUCCUGUGUGCCCAGUGGCCCCAGGUGACGUGUCUUCAAGAAGAGGCUGAGCUGCGGUGCUUGUAAGGCAGGGUCUCAUUCUGUCACCCAGGCUGGAGUGCAGUGGUGCAAUGAUGGCUCACUGCAGCCUCGACCUGGGCUCAAGUGAUCCUCCACCUCAGCUUCCUGAGUAGCUGGGACCACAGAGUCAUGUGCUGUUCCUGGGGCUUGGAUGAUGUAGGGGAAGCAAGGUGAAAGUGGUAUCCCGUGGUUCCACGUUCUGUCCUGCUGUGGGGCUGUCCCUCACAUGCUUUCAGUGGCUGUUGCAGAGGAAGAGCCUCCGGAAAUCUGCGUGGGUAAAGUCUCAGCCUUAGAUCCAAGGACAGUCCAAGGAAGUCCUAAGACCAUGGAGUUGGUGAUCUGGGAUCUGGGUUUGCUGAUAUUUCUCACCGUGAAUCUCUUGGUGGUGUUUGUGGGCACGAGAGGGGCAGAGAAUGGAGAGUGAGGCUACCACAUGAAGCGUCACCAGAGCUGCUCCCUGCUGCCUGCUCAGAGCACCCCGGAUCCACUGUUCAAUCUGCACAAGAUUCGGGGUCCAGACAUGGGAGACUUCAGCUGCCUCAGAGGACCGUGGACAGGGAAGGCCAGCCUCGCAUCCCUCUGUCCAUGCCUGGAAUGACUUUAAUAACCAAGAGUUUUAUUUUUGAAUUUGUAGCUGUCGUUCACUUUUUACCCACCCAUUCAAUAAACCUUACAGAAUU